rnacentral:rRNA from 1 species
GAGUUCGGGAGAGGGAUGCAGAAUUCCAGGUGUAGCGGUGAAAUGCGUAGAUAUCUGGAGGAAUACCGGUGGCGAAGGCGGCAUCCUGGACCGGCAUUGACGCUGAGGAGCGAAAGCUAGGGGAGCAAACGGGAUUAGAUACCCCGGUAGUCCUGGCCCUAAACGAUGAAUGCUUGGUGUGACGGGUAUCGAUCCCUGUCGUGCCGAAGCUAACGCAUUAAGCAUUCCGCCUGGGGAGUACGGUCGCAAGGCUGAAACUCAAAUGAAUUGACGG